CUGCUGCUACUCUCCCUAGGAGUGGCCGUCCUGUAAAGAUGACUGCAAGAGCACAGCACAGACUGCUCAACGAGGUGAAGAAGAAUCCUAGAGUGUCAGCUAAAGACUUACAAAAGUCACUGGCAAAUGCUAACAUCCCUGUUAGCGAAUCUACAAUAUGUAAAACACAAAACAAGAAUGGAUUUCAUGGGAGGAUACCACAGAGAAAGCCACUGCUGUCCAAACAAAACAUUGCUGCACGUUUACAGUUUGCACAAGAGCACCUGGAUGUUCCACAGCAGUACUGGCAAAAUAUUCUGUGGACAGAUGAAACCAAAGUUGAGUUGUUUGGAAGAAACACACAACACUAUGUGUGGCGAAAAAAAGGUACAGCACACCAUCAAAACCUCAUCCCAACUGUGAAGUAUGGUGGUGGGGACAUCAUGGUUUGGGGCUGCUUUGCUGCAUCAGGGCCUGGAUGGAUUGCUAUCAUUGAAGGAAAAAUGAAUUCCCAAGUUUAUCAAGACAUUUUGCAGGAGAACUUAAGGCCAUCUGUCUACCAGCUGAAGCUCAACAGAAGAUGAGUGUUGCAACAGGACAAUGACCCAAAGCAUAGAAGUAAAUCAACAACAGAAUAGCUUAAACAGAAGAAAAUACGCCUUCUGAAGUGGCCCAGUCAGAGUCCUGACCUCAAUCCGAUUGAGAUGCUGUGGCAUGACCUCAAGAAAGCGAUUCACACCAGACAUCCCAAGAAUAUUGCUGAACUGAAAAGAGGAAUGGUCAAGAAUUACUCCUGACCGUUAUGCACG